GUAGGUAUCUUCCCUUUGGUGAGGAAUAACACGAGGAAACUUGUGCUAAUACCUCAUAAGUCUUUACGGAGAAAGCUUUAUGCGCCAAUGGAUGAGCCUGCACUUGAUUAGUUAGUUGGUAGGGUAAUGGCUUACCAAGACAUUGAUCAAUAGCUGAUUUGAGAGGAUGAUCAGCCACAUUGGGACUGAGACACGGCCCAAACUCCUACGGGAGGCAGCAGUAGGGAAUCUUGCACAAUGGGGGAAACCCUGAUGCAGCGAUGCCGCGUGAGUGAAGAAGGCCUUUGGGUUGUAAAGCUCUUUCGUCGGGGAAGAAAAUG
rnacentral:rRNA from 1 species